GAGAGGCCAAAAUGGUAGUAAGUGUAACUGUCAUGCAGUUAUCUACUCAUGUUCAAGUUUUAAAUCUUUCCAAAGAACCCUUCUGCUACAGCAUCAGGUGGGCCAGGCGGUCUCAUUACCCUUUGCACAAUGAUUGUUGAGACCCAUUAUUUACAGUUUUGAAAAAUGAGGUCAUCUCAUUAAAAUCUCACAACAACCCUGUAAGGGAGGCAGGCCUGUAUCAUCAACCUCAUUGUUCGGAUGAGGAAAUUGAAUUUUAGGGGAUCUUCUCGACCCAGGGAUGGAAAUUGCAUCUCUUGCGUAUCCUGCAUUGGCAGGUGGAUUCUUUACCACUGCACCACCUGGGAAGCCCACUGGUCAUUCAGUUCAGUUCAGUUCAGUCGCUCAGUCGUGUCCGACUCUUUGCGACCCCAUGGAUUGCAGCACGCCAGGCCUCCCUGUCCAUCACCAACUCCUGGAGUUCACCCAAACUCAUGUCCAUUGAGUCAGUAAUGCCAUCCAGCCAUCUCAUCCUCUGUCGUCCUCUUCUCCUCCUGCCCCCAAUCCCUCCCAACAUCAGAGUCUUUUCCAAUGAUUCAACUCUUCGCAUGAGGUGGCCAAA
ensembl:lncRNA